rnacentral:sRNA from 1 species
GGGUUUAACUCCUGCUUGUUACCGUUUCAUCUGGCCGAAGCCGGAUGUCGUUUUGGUGUCUGAUUCGGUAAGGAACCGGGAGCACCAUCUGCGUAGGCUGUUGGUUUAAGACUCGCGCCACCUACGGUCUUGGACAGCCCCCGCAAAGCAGGGACCCCAAAGUGUCGAAGCAGCGCAAUCGCUUACGCCG